GGGCCGAAGGAGAAAAUUACCCAAAAACACUGCACAGCACUGGACUAAAAUAAAACCGAUUCGAUAUUUCAUGGAAAAAUUUGAAAAAAAAAAAAAGGUUUUGAAAUGAUAGGAUAAAAUGGAAGGAUUAAAAACACAAAUAACCCAUCAAUGUUUAAAAGUUCAAAUCCAUUUCAAACUCUGCUCCAUCCUCUCCUCUGUUUUUCAAGCCGAACUCCCCCCUUCCAACUUCGAUUUAGACGAAGAGAAUUAAAGAUGUCGACGGCGCGCCUCUUUUGGAUGAACAUGCAUGGUGGAAGCGAGGAAUCGCUGAACGUGGGGUGAUGGGGCCGUUGCUGCAGAUGGAGAACGUGCGAGCGGCGCGAUCUGCAGUUUCUGCUUCCAUUGCUGCUGAAAACAUGUUGUGGCCUAGGGUUAACUUUGGGCCAUUUGGGCCAAAUGUAUUUGGUUUAUUGGGCUGUGCAAAUGGUUUUGGGCUCGGGCAACAAUUGGGUAUCACAUAUCAUACACGUGGAUUUUCACGUACAUGAUAUGUUAGUAUUUAAUUAUUUUUUAAUUUAAAAAUAAUUUUAUAUUUUUAAAUAAUUUUAAUGAUUUUAAAUUUAAAAA